UUAGAGGAGAAGGAGAGAUUGUGAGGAAUUUCCUGCUUCAUACCUUGCAAUUGCAGAGUUGGGAGAAAACAGUUGAUUGCUAUAGUCCGGGACAGGGGUUGAUGCCUGCUAGUUUUAAAGUCAGAACUGUGCCUCUUGAUGGCAAUAAAUUUGAAGAAGUUCUAGAUCCAGAUUUUGGCGAAUCAGCUAUUGGCCGUGUCGCACCUGUGGAUUCUGGGUUGUGGUGGAUUAUUUUACUGAGGGCAUAUGGGAAAAUUACUGGUGACUGACACAUUGCAAGAAAGGGUGGAUGUUCAGACAGGCAUAAAACUGAUCUUAAACUUGUGCUUAACUGAUGGGUUUGAUAUGUUUCCUUCUCUGUUGGUCACUGAUGGCUCUUGCAUGAUAGAUCGACGAAUGGGUAUUCAUGGUCACCCCCUUGAGAUCCAAGCCUUAUUCUACUCUGCUCUGCGUUGCUCUCGUGAGAUGCUGACUGUAAAUGAUGGGUCCAAGAAUUUGGUGAGGGCCAUUAACAACAGACUCAGUGCACUGUCGUUUCAUAUUAGAGAAUACUAUUGGGUGGAUAUCAAAAAGAUCAAUGAGAUUUACCGGUAUAAAACGGAAGAGUAUUCCAUGGAUGCCACCAACAAGUUCAAUAUCUAUCCUGAACAAAUUCCUUCUUGGCUCAUGGAUUGGAUACCAGAGGAAGGUGGGUAUCUUAUUGGGAACCUACAGCCAGCACACAUGGAUUUUAGGUUUUUCACUCUCGGAAAUCUUUGGUCUAUUAUUUCGUCUUUGGGUACCCCAAAACAAAAUAAAGCUAUUCUAAAUUUGAUUGAAGCUAAAUGGGAUGAUAUUGUUGGACGUAUGCCUCUUAAAAUAUGUUACCCUGCACUGGAGAAUGAGGAUUGGCGUAUAAUCACUGGCAGUGACCCAAAGAAUACCCCUUGGUCAUAUCAUAAUGGUGGAUCGUGGCCAACACUUCUUUGGCAGUUCACAUUGGCAUGCAUCAAGAUGGGCAGACUAGAACUAGCCCAGAAGGCAGUAGCUUUGGCUGAAAAAAGACUUGCAGUUGACCGCUGGCCUGAGUAUUAUGACACACGUACAGGAAAGUUCAUCGGAAAACAAUCUCGACUUUGUCAAACAUGGACAAUUGCUGGGUUCCUGACGUCAAAAGUUCUCUUAGAGAAUCCACAGAUGGCAUCAAUGUUAUUAUGGGAGGAAGACUAUGAGCUUCUUGAAAUCUGUGUUUGUGCACUUAGCAAGACUGGCCGGAAGAAGUGCUCUCGAGUUGCUGCUAAGUCGCAGAUUCUUGUGUAGAGGGUGACAGCCAUUCUGUUAAAUGCAAGAAUGAAUCUGUUAGUUCUGUACAGCUUGGAGUUUAGGAGAGGCUUACAAGAGUCCUAUAAAUGAGGAAUUUUGAACCUCUCUAUUGUAACGUAUGCUAGCAAUUUCUUACAACACUGUAUGAAAGUCUUGUUCUACUGAUCCGAUUAAUUAGCUAAGUUGAUUGGUCAUAGAAUUUUGAAGUACUAGGGUUUAGUUGAGGGACCUUUACAAGUUUAUAUUGCGGUUCCUUACAUAGCCACUUUGUACAUUACUAAAUUAUUUUUUAUAAAAAAUGACAUUUAAUAAUAA
rnacentral:misc_RNA from 1 species